UACAGAGGUCUCAAGCGUUGUUCGGAUUCAUUGGGCGUAAAGGGUGCGUAGGCGGCGCGGUAAGUCGGGUGUGAAGUCUCGGAGCUUAACUCCGAAACCGCAUUCGAUACUGCCGUGCUUGAGGACUGGAGAGGAGACUGGAAUUUACGGUGUAGCGGUGAAAUGCGUAAAUAUCGUAAGGAAGACCAGUGGCGAAGGCGGGUCUCUGGACAGUUCCUGACGCUGAGGCACGAAGGUCAGGGGAG
rnacentral:rRNA from 1 species